AAGACCUUGCGCCUUUGGAGCGGCCGAUGCCUGAUUAGCUUGUUGGUAAGGUAAAAGCUUACCAAGGCUUCGAUCAGUAGCUGGUCUGAGAGGACGGCCAGCCACACUGGGACUGAGACACGGCCCAGACUCCUACGGGAGGCAGCAGUGGGGAAUUUUGGACAAUGGGGGCAACCCUGAUCCAGCCAUGCCGCGUGAGUGAAGAAGGCCUUCGGGUUGUAAAGCUCUUUCAGCCGGAACGAAACGGUUACGGUUAAUACCCGUGACUACUGACGGUACCGGAAGAAGAAGCACCGGCUAACUACGUGCCAGCAGCCGCGGUAAUACGUAGGGUGCGAGCGUUAAUCGGAAUUACUGGGCGUAAAGCGUGCGCAGGUGGUUUUGUAAGUCAGAUGUGAAAGCCCCGGGCUCAACCUGGGAACU
rnacentral:rRNA from 1 species